CGAUUCCUACGGGAGGCAGCAGUGGGGAAUAUUGCGCAAUGGGCGAAAGCCUGACGGAGCAACGCCGCGUGGGUGAUGAAGUCUCUCGGGAUGUAAAACCCUUUCAGCUGGGAAGAACUCAAUGACGGUACCAGCAGAAGAAGCAUCGGCUAACUACGUGCCAGCAGCCGCGGUAAU
rnacentral:rRNA from 1 species